rnacentral:misc_RNA from 1 species
UCUGCGUUUUGCGCAGCGGUCCCGUUAGACAUGGUAACUAACGGCGAGGGUUGCGCUCGUUGCGGGACUUAACCCAACAUCUCACGACACGAGCUGACGACAGCCAUGCAGCACCUGUCUCCGGUCCAGCCGAACUGAAGAACUCCAUCUCUGGAGUCCGCGACCGGGAUGUCAAGGGCUGGUAAGGUUCUGCGCGUUGCGUCGAAUUAAACCACAUGCUCCACCGCUUGUGCGGGCCCCCGUCAAUUCCUUUGAGUUUCAGCCUUGCGGCCGUACUCCCCAGGCGGGGCACUUAAUGCGUUAGCGCCGGCACCCAGGGGGUCGCUCCCCCAGGCACCUAGUGCCCAUCGUUUACGGCGUGGACUAC